rnacentral:sRNA from 1 species
UGAAGUACCGCUUCGCUUUGUGGAGGA